UACGAAGGGGGCUAGCGUUGCUCGGAAUCACUGGGCGUAAAGCGCACGUAGGCGGAUUGCUAAGUCAGGGGUGAAAUCCUGGAGCUCAACUCCAGAACUGCCUUUGAUACUGGCGAUCUUGAGUCCGGGAGAGGUGAGUGGAACUGCGAGUGUAGAGGUGAAAUUCGUAGAUAUUCGCAAGAACACCAGUGGCGAAGGCGGCUCACUGGACACAUAUUGACGCUGAGGUGCGAAAGCGUGGGGAGCAAACAGG
rnacentral:rRNA from 1 species